CCGAAUAGCAUGUCCUGU
rnacentral:snRNA from 1 species